ACACAUGCAAGUCGAACGGUAACAGAAAGCUUCUUGCUGCUUUGCUGACGAGUGGCGGACGGGUGAGUAAUGUCUGGGAAACUGCCCGAUGGAGGGGGAUAACUACUGGAAACGGUAGCUAAUACCGCAUAACGUCGCAAGACCAAAGAGGGGGACCUUCGGGCCUCUUGCCAUCGGAUGUGCCCAGAUGGGAUUAGCUAGUAGGUGGGGUAAAGGCUCACCUAGGCGACGAUCCCUAGCUGGUCUGAGAGGAUGACCAGCCACACUGGAACUGAGACACGGUCCAGACUCCUACGGGAGGCAGCAGUGGGGAAUAUUGCACAAUGGGCGCAAGCCUGAUGCAGCCAUGCCGCGUGUAUGAAGAAGGCCUUCGGGUUGUAAAGUACUUUCAGCGGGGAGGAAGGGAGUAAAGUUAAUACCUUUGCUCAUUGACGUUACCCGCAGAAGAAGCACCGGCUAACUCCGUGCCAGCAGCCGCGGUAAUACGGAGGGUGCAAGCGUUAAUCGGAAUUACUGGGCGUAAAGCGCACGCAGGCGGUUUGUUAAGUCAGAUGUGAAAUCCCCGGGCUCAACCUGGGAACUGCAUCUGAUACUGGCAAGCUUGAGUCUCGUAGAGGGGGGUAGAAUUCCAGGUGUAGCGGUGAAAUGCGUAGAGAUCUGGAGGAAUACCGGUGGCGAAGGCGGCCCCCUGGACGAAGACUGACGCUCAGGUGUGAAAGCGUGGGGAGCAAACAGGAUUAGGUACCCUGGUAGUCCACGCCGUAAACGAUGCCGACUUGGAGGUUGUGCCCUUGAGGCGUGGCUUCCGGAGCUAACGCGUUAAGUCGACCGCCUGGGGAGUACGGCCGCAAGGUUAAAACUCAAAUGAAUUGACGGGGGCCCGCACAAGCGGUGGAGCAUGUGGUUUAAUUCGAUGCAACGCGAAGAACCUUACCUGGUCUUGACAUCCACGGAAGUUUUCAGAGAUGAGAAUGUGCCUUCGGGAACCGUGAGACAGGUGCUGCAUGGCUGUCGUCAGCUCGUGUUGUGAAAUGUUGGGUUAAGUCCCGCAACGAGCGCAACCCUUAUCCUUUGUUGCCAGCGGUCCGGCCGGGAACUCAAAGGAGACUGCCAGUGAUAAACUGGAGGAAGGUGGGGAUGACGUCAAGUCAUCAUGGCCCUUACGACCAGGGCUACACACGUGCUACAAUGGCGCAUACAAAGAGAAGCGACCUCGCGAGAGCAAGCGGACCUCAUAAAGUGCGUCGUAGUCCGGAUUGGAGUCUGCAACUCGACUCCAUGAAGUCGGAAUCGCUAGUAAUCGUGGAUCAGAAUGCCACGGUGAAUACGUUCCCGGGCCUUGUACACACCGCCCGUCACACCAUGGGAGUGGGUUGCAAAAGAAGUAGGUAGCUUAACCUUCGGGAGGGCGCUUACCACUUUGUGAUUCAUGACUGGGGUGAAGUC
rnacentral:rRNA from 1 species